GAUUAACGCGAAGAACCUUACCUGGCCUUGACAUGCAAGUAGUAGAAGGAUGAAAGUCUGACGAGGUAGCAAUACCAGCUUGCACAGGUGCUGCAUGGCUGUCGUCAGCUCGUGUCGUGAGAUGUUGGGUUAAGUCCCGCAACGAGCGCAACCCUUGUGUCCUGUUGCCACUCGAACGAGAGUUCGAAGCACUCUGGACAGACUGCCUCGCUUAAACGAGGAGGAAGGUGGGGAUGACGUCAAGUCAGUAUGGCCCUUACGGCCAGGGCUGCACACGUACUACAAUGCCCGGCACAAAGGGAAGCAAGAUCGUAAGAUGGAGCAAAUCCCCAAAAACCGGGCCCAGUUCAGAUUGUCGUCUGCAACUCGACGGCAUGAAGUUGGAAUCGCUAGUAAUGGCGCAUCAGCUACGGCGCCGUGAAUACGUUCCCGGGCCUUGUACACACCGAAUC
rnacentral:rRNA from 1 species